rnacentral:rRNA from 1 species
UACGAAGGGGGCUAGCGUUGCUCGGAAUUACUGGGCGUAAAGCGCACGUAGGCGGCUUUCUAAGUCGGGGGUGAAAUCCUGGAGCUCAACUCCAGAACUGCCUUCGAUACUGGAGAGCUCGAGUCCGGGGGAGGUGAGUGGAACUGCGAGUGUAGAGGUGAAAUUCGUAGAUAUUCGCAAGAACACCAGUGGCGAAGGCGGCUCACUGGCUCGGUACUGACGCUGAGGUGCGAAAGCGUGGGGAGCAAACAGG